GGUGACACAGUGACAGAGUGAGGGAGGGGGUGACACAGUGACAGAGUGAGGGAGGGGGUGACACAGUGACAGAGUGAGGGAGGGGGUGACUAGUGACAGAGAGAGGGAUGGGGUGACUAGUGACAGUCACCCCCUCCCUCCCUCUGUCACUAGUCACUCCCUCCCUCUGUCACUAGUCACUCCCUCCCUCUGUCACUAGUCAUUCCCUCCCUCUGUCACUAGUCAUUCCCUCCCUCUGUCACUAGUCAUUCCCUCCCUCUGUCACCAGUUAUCCCCUCCCUCU